rnacentral:rRNA from 1 species
UCUUUGCAGUAAUGCAAGGCAUACGGCUCAGUAACACGUAGUCAACUUACCCUAUGGACGAGGAUAAUCUCGGGAAACUGAGCAUAAUACUCGAUAGAUCAUAAUGCCUGGAAUGGUUUAUGGUUGAAAUGAUUCGUCGCCAUAGGAUGGGACUGCGGCCUAUCAGCUUGUUGGUGAGGUAAUGGCCCACCAAGGCGAUUACAGGUACGGGCUCUGAGAGGAGAAGCCCGGAGAUGGGUACUGAGACAAGGACCCAGGCCCUAUGGGGCGCAGCAGGCGAGAAAACCUUGCAAUGUGCGAAAGCACGACAAGGUUAAUCCGAGUGAUUUCUGCUAAAGAAAUCUUUUGCAAGUCAUAAAACCACUAGUGAAUAAGGGGUGGGCAAGUUCUGGUGUCAGCCGCCGCGGUAAAACCAGCACCUCAAGUGGUCAGGAGGAUUAUUGGGCCUAAAGCAUCCGUAGCCGGCUCUGUAAGUUUUCGGUUAAAUCCAUGUGCUCAACGCAUGGGCUGCCGAAAAUACUGCAUAGCUAGGGAGUGGGAGAGGUAGACGGUACUCGGUAGGAAGGGGUAAAAUCCUUUGAUCUAUCGAUGACCACCUGUGGCGAAGGCGGUCUACCAGAACACGUUCGACGGUGAGGGAUGAAAGCUGGGGGAGCAAACCGGAUUAGAUACCCGGGUAGUCCCAGCUGUAAACGAUGCAGACUCGAUGAUGCAUUGGCAUAUAGCCAGUGCAGUGUCGCAGGGAAGCCGUUAAGUCUGCCGCCUGGGAAGUACGUACGCAAGUAUGAAACCUAAAGGAAUUGGCGGGGGA